UACGAAGGGGGCUAGCGUUGUUCGGAUUUACUGGGCGUAAAGCGCACGUAGGCGGAUCGUUAAGUCGGGGGUGAAAUCCUGGAGCUCAACUCCAGAACUGCCUUCGAUACUGGCGAUCUUGAGUCCGGAAGAGGUGAGUGGAACUCCUAGUGUAGAGGUGGAAUUCGUAGAUAUUAGGAAGAACACCGAUGGCGAAGGCAGCCCCCUGGGCUGAGAUUGACGCUCAGGCACGAAAGCGUGGGGAGCAAACAGG
rnacentral:rRNA from 1 species